GGAAAGAGUUGUGUUUGAAUGCUACGAUGGCAGCAGCAACAGCACAUCACCAUGUCGUGUGCAUGAGGAGGAGUCGUACUCCAUCCAAGUGAAAACAGCCAUGGCAGCAGCAGGUGAACUAGUUACUGCCCUUGAAAGCUGCUUUUCCAUCUCCUCCAAAAACAGCAGUGAUGACAAUGAGAUGGGAUGGUGACCAUUAGCAUCCCAGCGCUGCUCAGAUUUGAUCAACCCAAAGCAUUUCUGCUACAAAAGGAGCUCCAGAUGUGCCAGUGGCUUUUGUGAUUAGGACUCAUGUCCCUCAGAAAGUAGACUGAAUCCAUCAAUUCAUUUCACAUAGGCCACAGAAUGGAAAAAAUGAAGCUGCUGACAAAACAAGCAAGAUUUAUAGCUUCCUGAGGCAGAUCACCCACUAUAACAAGGCAAUAGUUUUAACACUGUAACUAGACUCAAUGAAGUGCUGCUGAGUAAAUUUGGCAGGCUGGAAAAUCCAUUCCUUAGUGUUUCAGUCAAUAACCAAAAUAAAAUUUAGGUUAAAAUACAUUUAAUUGCCACAUUCUGAAAGCCUGAAAGAAGAGAAUUUUAUAGACAACGAUUGGAAUUGGUCUUCUAAAAGCACUGUGGAAAGAAACAAACAAAUAUGGAACAACAUGCUGGGUGAAUAUACCUCAGUACGAUCAAAUACUCCUCCAAACCUACAUCAGAAAGAAGAAAUCAAGAAAGCAUUAAUAUGCAUUUGGUAAUUCUCAGACCACCUCAAGAAUUCUUCAGAUAAAUUGUAGGUCCUGUAUAUUGCCACUAUUUGUACAGCUUAUUGUGCUAUAAACCUUGAACUUGAUUGGCAA
rnacentral:lncRNA from 1 species